rnacentral:rRNA from 1 species
UGAAUACGAGACGCUAAGGCGUCGAAGUAGUGUAUGUCAUACUUCCAAGAAAAGCUUGCACUGUCAUAGAUAAAAAACGCCUGUACCAUAACCGACACAGGUGGGUAGGUAGAGUAUACUAAGGGGCGCGAGAUAACUCUCUCUAAGGAACUCGGCAAAAUAACUCCGUAACUUCGGGAGAAGGAGUGCCUUAUUCGUAAGGUUGCAAUAACAAGAUCCAAGCAACUGUUUAUCAAAAACACAGGUCUCCGCUAAGUCGUAAGACGAUGUAUGGGGGCUGACGCCUGCCCAGUGCCAGAAGGUUAAAGAAGUUGGUUAGCAAUUGCGAAGCUGAUAACUGAAGCCCUGGUGAACGGCGGCCGUAACGAUAACGGUCCUAAGUUAGCGAAAUUCCUUGUCGGGUAAGUUCCGACCCGCACGAAAGGCGUAAUGAUUUGGAUACUGUCUCGGAGAGGGGCUCGGUGAAAUAGACUUGUCUGUGAAGAUGCGGACUACCUGCACCAGGACAGAAAGACCCUAUGAAGCUUUACUGUAACUUGAAAUUGAAAUUGGACUUUAUUCGCGCAGUAUAGGUGGGAGGCGUUGAUUAUAAUCUUGUGGGAUUAUUGGAGCCAUCAGUGAGAUACCACUCUUGUAAUGUUAGAUUUCUAACUUUGAAUCAUUAUCUGGUCAAAGAACAGUUUCAGGCGGGCAGUUUGACUGGGGCGGUCGCCUCCUAAACGGUAACGUAGGCGUACAAAGGUUUCCUCUGAACGGUUAGAAAUCGUAUCUAGAGUGUAAAGGCAUAAGGAAGCUUGACUGUGAGACCUACAAGUCGAGCAGGGACGAAAGUCGGUCUUAGUGAUCUGACGGUACUGAGUGGAAAGGCCGUCACUCAACGGAUAAAAGUUACUCUAGGAUAACAGGCUGAUCUCCCCCAAGAGUUCACAUCGACGGGGAGGUUUGGCACCUCGAUGUCGGCUCAUCGCAUCCUGGGGCGGUAGUACGUCCCAAGGGUUGGGCUGUUCGCCCAUGAAAGCGGUACGCGAGCUGGGUUCAGAACGUCGUGAGACAGUUCGGUCCAUAUCCGGUGUAGGCGUUAGAAUAUUGAGAGGAGCCUUCUUUAGUACGAGAGGACCGAGAAGGACAUACCUCUGGUGUACCAGUUAUCGUGCCAACGGUAAACGCUGGGUAGCUAUGUAUGGAGUGGAUAACCGCUGAAAGCAUCUAAGUGGGAAGCCCACCUCAAGAUAAGUAUUCUCAUC